AUGUGUUGGAACGUGAGGGGACUUAACAACCCCGCCAAGAGAAAUGUUGUCCGGGAGUUUGUUGUCGAGUCUAAGGUGAACCUUGUUUGUCUUCAAGAGACGAAGAUUGAUGUAUUCGACCCAUUUUUAGUGAUGCAAUGCAUUGGACCAUCAUUUGAUGGUUUUGCCUACUUACCCGCGUUGGAAACUAGGGGUAGAAUCCUUUUUGGGUUGGAGUAG
rnacentral:rRNA from 1 species